rnacentral:rRNA from 1 species
UCCAGACUCCUACGGGAGGCAGCAGUGAGGAAUAUUGGUCAAUGGGCGCAAGCCUGAACCAGCCAAGUCGCGUGAGGGAAGACGGUCCUAUGGAUUGUAAACCUCUUUUGUCGGGGAGCAAAGCGCGGUAUGAGUGCCGUGAAGGAGAGUACCCGAAGAAAAAGCAUCGGCUAACUCCGUGCCAGCAGCCGCGGUAAUACGGAGGAUGCGAGCGUUAUCCGGAUUUAUUGGGUUUAAAGGGUGCGCAGGCGGAAUGUCAAGUCAGCGGUAAAAUUUCGGGGCUCAACCCCGUCGUGCCGUUGAAACUGGCGUUCUUGAGUGAGCGAGAAGUAUGCGGAAUGCGUGGUGUAGCGGUGAAAUGCAUAGAUAUCACGCAGAACUCCGAUUGCGAAGGCAGCAUACCGGCGCUCAACUGACGCUCAUGCACGAAAGCGUGGGUAUCGAACAGGAUUAGAUACCCUCGUAUG